UUUGACCAGCGGCGGUCACCUGGUCCUGAGUCACGUGGUCACGUGGUCACUGAAUACCCGGAACUGCGGGUAAAACGCGGCAGUUUUAGACGUUCAAACCUGUUCCAGCUCCUUCCGUACGACUGUACAAGGAGAAUUAUCCGCUUUGGGAAAUUUCUUGUUAAUAACUAAGAAUUGAAUCAAUCUGCGCGUUUAUUUAUUUAUUUUUUGAGGGAUUUAUUCAUGUGAACGUUGUUGGAAGCUUCGGGCAAAGGACGUCGUUUAAUGAGCAAAAGGUGAACAGGGGCCUGAGUGAUAGACCAGGAACCUUUCAUCUCGCCCAGUGAGUGUAAAUAGCUGUCAUGUUUGAUUGGCGGUCUGACGUGCACAUUUGAUGCACUGGAAGAGGGGAAGAAAUACAGAGAAGGACGUGGUGCAUGACGGUUCUGCUGUCUUCAAACUCAAGAGGUUGUGUUGGUCAUUGGAAACCAUUCAUGAAAAUGCACCACUGAGGCUGAUGGAUCUGUGCUCCAUUAUCUGCUGAGCAGGUAA